rnacentral:rRNA from 1 species
CGAGUCAUUGUAGCAUACAAGGCGGACGGCUCAGUAACACGUAGUCAACCUAACUCGUGGACGUGGAUAACCUCGGGAAACUGAGAAUAAACCACGAUAGAUCAUAGUGCCUGGAAUGGCUUAUGGUCCAAACGGUUUACUGCCAUGGGAUGGGACUGCGGCCUAUCAGCUUGUUGGUGAGGUAAUGGCCCACCAAGGCGAUUACAGGUACGGGCUCUGAGAGGAGAAGCCCGGAGAUGGGUACUGAGACACGGACCCAGGCCCUAUGGGGCGCAGCAGGCGAGAAACCUUAGCAAUGUGCGAAAGCACGACUGGGUCAGUCCGAGUGAUUCCUGAUAAAGGAGUCUUUUGCUUGUCCUAAAAGCACAGGUGAAUAAGGGGUGGGCAAGUCUGGUGUCAGCCGCCGCGGUAAUACCAGCACCUCGAGUGGUCAGGACGUUUAUUGGGCCUAAAGCAUCCGUAGCCGGCGCUGCAAGUCUUCGGUUAAAUCCACCUGCUCAACAGAUGGGCUGCUGGAGAUACUACAGCGCUAGGGAGUGGGAGAGGCAGACGGUAUUCGGUGGGUAGGGGUAAAAUCCUCUGAUCCAUUGAGGACCACCAGUGGCGAAGGCGGUCUGCCAGAACACGUUCGACGGUGAGGGAUGAAAGCUGGGGGAGCAAACCGGAUUAGAUACCCGGGUAGUCCCAGCUGUAAACGAUGCAAACUCGGUGAUGCAUUGGCUUAUGGCCAAUGCAGUGCCGCAGGGAAGCCGUU